rnacentral:rRNA from 1 species
CGUACAAGGUCUCCGUAGGUGAACCUGCGGAGGGAUCAUUACAAGAACGCCCGGGCUUCGGCCUGGUUAUUCAUAACCCUUUGUUGUCCGACUCUGUUGCCUCCGGGGCGACCCUGCCUUCGGGCGGGGGCUCCGGGUGGACACUUCAAACUCUUGCGUAACUUUGCAGUCUGAGUAAACUUAAUUAAUAAAUUAAAACUUUUAACAACGGAUCUCUUGGUUCUGGCAUCGAUGAAGAACGCAGCGAAAUGCGAUAAGUAAUGUGAAUUGCAGAAUUCAGUGAAUCAUCGAAUCUUUGAACGCACAUUGCGCCCCCUGGUAUUCCGGGGGGCAUACCUGUUCGAGCGUCAUUUCACCACUCAAGCCUCGCUUGGUAUUGGGCAACGCGGUCCGCCGCGUGCCUCAAAUCGUCCGGCUGGGUCUUCUGUCCCCUAAGCGUUGUGGAAACUAUUCGCUAAAGGGUGUUCGGGAGGCUACGCCGUAAAACAACCCCAUUUCUAAGGUUGACCUCGGAUCAGGUAGGGAUACCCGCUGGACUUAAGCAUAUCA